AAUGCCGUAUAAAAUAAGCAAGGAAGUCUUAUAAAAAAUCUUCUCUCAGAUCCAUGUAUUAAUUAAACCUCCCCUCGAGCCGUGCGUUGAUGGCGUGAAGCUGACACUGCAGCUAAAGUCAGGUUUGAAGGGGGUCUUUAUUGAUCCCCCCCCCCCCGGGCCCAAAUUUGCUGCCUCUUUUUUUAAGGGAAUAAAAACAAAUACUAGCAUCCGAAAACGAAGGUGGAUCUCUUCUGCGUCCUAGGAGUUGUGCGAUUCUGUUCGUCUUUCUUCGGCAAAUUCGCUCGCGAUCAUCGCCUCCUUGAAAUGAUUUUCGUAUCUCUUUAGCCGGCGAUUUCCGUUUGUCUCUUCGGCGAUCCACUCGCAACAACAAAAGGAUGCAGGUUCGUGUGGCGUCCGCGUUCGGUGCUCAGCGGAAAGAUGAGCACCGAAUGCUCACCAGGAAGGCGACGCCGUUGAUUUACUUUAGGUUCAGAUCACAUGUAAUUCUUUUUCUCGCAUUUUCAUCUGAAGCUUGAAAGUAUGGGGGACCUUGAAGUAGAGGCUGAACGGUGGAUGACGGGGCCAACCAUGAAUUCGUCCGUGGACUUCGGGGGUGAUGCAGAAUGAGUGACAUUCCAUGGAUUCCUCCCACUUUUCCUUUAUUUCGUGUUGGGCUAAUCUUAUUGAGGCAUUUGAAUUUUUUUCCCCCUUUAUCAAUUAUAAUUUGAUUAUUAUUUUGAUAGGAAGUAGAAUAAAAACUUUUUUAAUGGCUUGUGAUUUCUGGUUGAUGAGACAUUCCCCGUUUCUGGGAAUAGUAUAAUUGGACUUGACUUUGCUGGAUUUAAGUUAAACAUGUUGCAACAAUAUUUAAAUAUAUUCUGGAAAUAGUUUUCCAGGAGCAAAAUUGGACUUGACUUUACUAGAUUUAAGUUAAAGAUGCUGCAACAAUAUUUGGAUGGCUUUGUGAUAUUAGCUUUGUUAAUCUGGGUUGUUAAAUAUCGUGACUGGGACUGUUAAUCUGGAUGGUAUGCUGCUAAAUUUAAUUGAUCAAUUUUCAAGCAUGGAUUCUGGUUUUUCUGAAAGAUUCUGCUACAUUUAUUGCUUUCUUAUUGCUGUAGGGAGUAAUUGUACGUGAAAAUUUUCGUGAAUAAUUGUACAUGUUGAACUGAGAUGUGCACAACUUGUUCUCUUGCUGAAGCAGAUACAUAAAAGCAAGACUGAAAGUUGUCAAAAACUGAGCAAUGCAAGCUGAAGGCCAGCAAAUUAAGAAAGAGAUGUCAGAAAGAGAACAUUUAUUAUUUUUAUUUUUUGAAUGAAAUUUAUGAGUUGUUUUUUGGUUCCAUGUAAUUCCAGUAAUAAUAGCUGCACAAAGUAGUCGUAAAUGAAGAUUUCAAACGAAUAGCGGUAUUUAUUCAUUUUCA